GAUGAACGCUGGCGGCGUGCCUAAUACAUGCAAGUCGAGCGAACGGACGAGAAGCUUGCUUCUCUGAUGUUAGCGGCGGACGGGUGAGUAACACGUGGAUAACCUACCUAUAAGACUGGGAUAACUUCGGGAAACCGGAUCUAAUACCGGAUGAUAUUUUGAACCGCAUGGUUCAAAAGUGAAAGACGGUCUUGCUGCCACUUAUAGAUGGAUCCGCGCUGCAUUAGCUAGUUGGUAAGGUAACGGCUUACCAAGGCAACGAUGCAUAGCCGACCUGAGAGGGUGAUCGGCCACACUGGAACUGAGACACGGUCCAGACUCCUACGGGAGGCAGCAGUAGGGAAUCUUCCGCAAAGGGCGAAAGCCUGACGGAGCAACGCCGCGUGAAUGAUGAAGGUCUUCGGAUCGUAAAACUCUGUUAUUAGGGAAGAACAUAUGUGUAAGUAACUGUGCACAUCUUGACGGUACCUAAUCAGAAAGCCACGGCUAACUACGUG
rnacentral:rRNA from 1 species